CUUGACCAAAUUUUUCCGAAAAAUUACUUCCCUGGCAGUUUUUCCUUGUUAAUACACCCUGUAUAUUAGUAAAUUUUUAACAUUUUAGAUUUCUGACAGUCACUCCGACAAAUUUUGACCUUUAUCAAUGGUCUUUCCAGUAUCCAUUCCCGAAAGGGGCUCAUCCUCCAGGUAAUGAAAUAAAUUCGUUGAAGCAGCCACCCUUCGCCAAUCCCCAUUACUCGUUCCCUUACGACCAACCCUUACGGCGCUACUGGAGGGUGGCAGAGUGACCGUGAAACUAAUGAAUCCAGAGGGCUGUACGACUUGCACUGCGCUAAGACCACUAAAACGUGAAUUACACGACGCUCUGUUUAUGGUACGCGAGUCAUGCACAGAUGUUUCAACCAGAACCUUAAAAUAAGAGGAACGAUUUGAACUCGCAUCAUCCACUAGUCCUGUAUGUGUAGAUCCAGUCGUGAGACAUGUGACAAUCGACUAAGUUUGACGCGACCUAUCAGUUCCGAUAAUGUGCGAGUUGUUUGACGUUUUUAUUUUGUGUUUUUGUGAGAAGUUAUUUUGAGUGUUUUCGUGAUUUUUUCUUUUUAAUUUGGAUAAAGCCAGUGGAGCGACACUUUUAAGGUUCCAUCAUCUUAACCAAUAUUAGGUGAGUUUGACUAGAUCUUGCACGUCACUGAAGAGAAAUUUCCAGGCAUUAUCCAAUACAAUUCAAUAAAGAAGCCGGUGUG